rnacentral:misc_RNA from 1 species
GAUGAAGAACGCAGCGAAAUGGGAUAAGUAAUGUGAAUUGCAGAAUUCAGUGAAUCAUCGAAUCUUUGAACGCACAUUGCGCCCAUUAGUAUUCUAGUGGGCAUGCCUGUUCGAGCGUCAUUAAGUCCACUUAAGCCCUGCUUAGUGUUGGGAGACUGCUCCAGCGGUGCUACCCUGUAGCUACCCUGCAGCUCCUCAAAGACAGCGGCGGAGUUGUGGUAUCCUCUGAGCUUAGUAACUUGUUCUAGCUUUCGAGUACACCACUUCCCCUGCCGUAAAACCCUUAAUUUUUAAUGGUUGACCUCGGAUCAGGUAGGAAUACCCGCUGAACUUAAGCAUAUCAAUAAGCGGAGGA